rnacentral:rRNA from 1 species
AACGAACGCUGGCGGCGCGUCUUAAGCAUGCAAGUCGAACGGCAAGAGAGGAGCUUGCUUCUCUCCUAGAGUGGCGGACUGGUGAGGAACACGUGGGUAAUCUACCCUUAAGAUGGGGAUAGCUGCUAGAAAUAGCAGGUAAUACCGAAUACACUCGGCAUAUCACAAGAGGUGGUGAGGAAAGGAAGCUGCGGCUUCGCGGGAGGGUGAGCUUGCGUCCCAUUAGCUAGUUGGUGAGGUAAAGGCCCACCAAGGCGACGAUGGGUAUCCGGCCUGAGAGGGUGAACGGCCACAUUGGGACUGAGAUACGGCCCAAACUCCUACGGGAGGCAGCAGCUAAGAAUAUUCCGCAAUGGACGGAAGUCUGACGGAGCGACGCCGCGUGGAUGAAGAAGGCUGAACAGUUGUAAAAUCCUUUUGUUGAUGAAGAAUAAGGGUGAGAGGGAAUGCUCAUCUGAUGACGGUAAUCGACGAAUAAGCCCCGGCUAAUUACGUG